rnacentral:misc_RNA from 1 species
UCUUCAGAUGAUGAUCCCAAGCCUUCUGGCGAUCCGUGAUAAGUUCUUUGUAGAACUUUAAGAAAAGCAUUUUGCAUUAAAAGAAUGCUUUCAUGUGAUAAAGUCGGGGAAGGUUUUCCGGUUUAUCCCGGAGGGCUUGUAGCUCAGUUGGUUAGAGCGCGCGCUUGAUAAGCGUGAGGUCGGAGGUUCAAGUCCUCCCAGGCCCACCAAUUAUCCAUCCACAGAAAAGCGCUUAGGAAGCUUGAAAAAAAAGAGCUUUUUCGUAAAGUUUGAAAAAAAACUUGUUUAUCGCUUUUUGUAAGAUGUGGCGUUUGUCUGUUUUUAAAGCGGUCGAAACCAAAAGUGUUGCAAAGACAAGAGUCUUGGAGCAGGAAAGAACAUAAGAUCCAGGUGGUGUCACAUGGUCUAGAGUUAAACUGUUCAUGAUUGGAAUAUUCCAUGUUGAAAUGCUGCGAUAUAAAGGUUUCGGAUAAAUUAUUCCGUUUUGGGGCCGUAGCUCAGCUGGGAGAGCACCUGCUUUGCAAGCAG